rnacentral:tRNA from 1 species
GGGGCUAUAGCUCAGCGGUAGAGCGCCUCAAUGGCAUUGAGGAGGUCAGCGGUUCGAAUCCGCUUAGCUCCA